rnacentral:misc_RNA from 1 species
AAGUCGUAACAAGGUUACCGUAGGUGAACCUGCGGUAGGAUCAUUAAAAAAAAGUGUUCCACACUAUAACCCUUGUGAACUGUUAACCAACCCACGUGAACGACCUAGUGACCGUUGCGAUUGUGAGCACACAGAUGAUAAGAUGAGAAGCAAAUGUGGUGGCUUCUUCAUUCUUUGGUUGCUCCGCGUAACUUUCUUUCAAUAGAAAGGUCCUUAACUGUUUACGUUUUUUUAAAUUCAUCUGUACCCCUUUUUAUAAACCCUUUUUGAACCUUUUUUUGUUGAAUCUUAAAGAAAAGAUGAGGGAAACCUCAUUUUUUUUUCAUUUAUGAAACUAAAGCACAACUCUUAGCAACGGAUAUCUAGGCUCUC